GUGCGUCCCACGAGAUAUAACUACAUAAUAUAUAAUUUCAUAUUCAUAACGUUCAGAAGAUAUAAUGAACGUUUGUUAUAACAUCAAAAUCAAUAUUUUUAUUAGGAAUAACGGUCAAUUAACAUAAUACUUAUAUGAUAUAUGAUUUUUUUAUAUAACACUCAAAUACUCUAAAUUCAGUUUAUAUAACAUACAUAACGUAUAUCGAUCAUAGUAUAUACUAUCUUUUAGUAUAAUGAUCAUAAAAUAUAAUAGCGUAUGAUAUACUAAAUAGGUUAUAACUGAUACCCCUAUACAAAACCAGCUGUUGCUAGAAAAGUAGGUUAGGUUAGGUUAGAACUGCGACCCCUACAGAAAACAAACUGCUGCCAGAAAAGUAGGUUAGGUUAGGUUAGAACUGCGACCCCUACAGAAAACAAACUGCUGCCAGAAAAGUAGGUUAGGUUAGAACUGCGACCCCUACAGAAAAAUAACUGCUGCCAGAAAAGUAGGUUAGGUUAGGUUAGAACUGCGACCCCUACAGAAAACAAACUGCUGCCAGAAAAGUAGGUUAGGUUAGGUUAAAACUGCGACCCCUACAGAAAACAAACUGCUGCCAGAAAAAUAGGUUAGGUUAGGUUAGAACUGCGACCCUUACAGAAAACAAACUGCUGCCAGGAAAAUGGGUUAGGCGUUUAUUCUUUACGAGCAUUAUGCAUUUUGGUGUUAGAUCUAUUGAGUAAUAUACAUUAUAAAUCUGAGAUAUUAUGAACGUUAUACAAAAUCAUCGUUAUAUACAAUGAUAUUAUACUAAAAUAACGUUAUACUUAACAAAAAUAUAUAUUUUAUGUUAUACUUAACAUUCGUUAUACACCUUGAACGGUAUACAAAACAAAUUUAUACAAUAUGAGCGUAUAUAAUAUGAAUAUUAUAGUAUAAGUUCUUAUGUCUUAUAUUACUUACCC